GGGCCCGUAGCCUAGACUGGACUCGACCCAUCAAGGCUGGUUCAAAGACUGGAUUAGGGCGUCGGCCUGCGAAGCCGGAGGUCGUGGGUUCAAAUCCCACCGGGCCCG
rnacentral:tRNA from 1 species